GAUGAACGCUGGCGGCGUGCCUAAUACAUGCAAGUCGAGCGAAUGGAUUAAGAGCUUGCUCUUAUGAAGUUAGCGGCGGACGGGUGAGUAACACGUGGGUAACCUGCCCAUAAGACUGGGAUAACUCCGGGAAACCGGGGCUAAUACCGGAUAAUAUUUUGAACUGCAUGGUUCAAAAUUGAAAGGCGGCUUCGGCUGUCACUUAUGGAUGGACCCGCGUCGCAUUAGCUAGUUGGUGAGGUAACGGCUCACCAAGGCAACGAUGCGUAGCCGGCCGGAUAGGGUGAUCGGCCAACAUGGGACGGAAGCACGGCCCAGACUCCUACGGGAGGCAGCAGUAGGGAAUCUUCCGAAAUGGACGAAAGUCUGACGGAGCAACGACGCGUGAGUGAUGAAGGCUUUCGGGUCGUAAAACUCUGUUGUUAGGGAAGAACAAGUGCUAGUUGAAUAAGCUGGCACCUUGACGGUACCUGACCAGAAAGCCACGGCUAACUACGUGCCAGCCGCCGCAGUAA
rnacentral:rRNA from 1 species